GAUGAAGAACGCAGCGAAAUGCGAUAAGUAAUGUGAGUUGCAGAAUUCAGUGAAUCAUCGAAUCUUUGAACGCACAUUGCGCCCGCCAGUAUUCUGGCGGGCAUGCCUGUCCGAGCGUCAUUUCAACCAUCAAGCCCCGGGCUUGUGUUGGGGACCUGCGUCCGACGCAGGCCCUGAAAACCAGUGGCGGGCUCGCUGUCCACACCGAGCGUAGUAACUAACCUCGCUAUGGAGUGGCGCGGGCGCCUGCCGUAAAACCCCCAAUUUCACAAGGUUGACCUCGGAUCAGGUAGGAAUACCCGCUGAACUUAAGCAUAUCAAUAAGCGGAGGA
rnacentral:misc_RNA from 1 species